rfam:Nicotiana attenuata strain TT chromosome 6, whole genome shotgun sequence.
AGGUGUUGGUCGAUUAAGACAGCAGGACAGUGGUCAUGGAAGUCGAAAUUCGCUAAGGAGUGUGUAACAACUCACCUGCCGAAUCAACUAGUCCCGAAAAUGGAUGGCGC